UACAGAGGUGGCAAGCGUUGUUCGGAAUUACUGGGCGUAAAGGGCGCGUAGGCGGCCUUCUUAGUCGGACGUGAAAUCCCCAGGCUUAACUUGGGAACUGCGUCCGAUACUGGAGGGCUCGAGUGCGGGAGAGGAACGCGGAAUUCCUGGUGUAGCGGUGAAAUGCGCAGAUAUCAGGAGGAACACCAGCGGCGAAGGCGGCGCUCUGGGCCGGUACUGACGCUGAGGAGCGAAAGCGUGGGGAUCAAACAGG
rnacentral:rRNA from 1 species